ACUCUCAAUGCGACCACUUUGUUUCCUGUGGAGCCAGGUGUGUUUGAACCUGCCGCUAUUGUUAAUGUAAUUAGUGUCUACACGGACCAGGUUGGGUGUUGCAACAGAUACAGAUCUG